GGCCCCCUUACCUGAGUGCCCUCCUCAGAUAACACCUAUUCAAACAGUCCCACUGUUUGGGGUGACUCCUCACCUCAAUUCUCCAUACAAUACCAUAUCUGCACCCAGUUGUUUGAAGACCCUGGAGAGCAACCAAGGGAUCCAGGACUUGAACAUCCAGGAUCCUGGGGAGAAAGAAAACAUGGCGGUACCAUCAUAAACACUGCAAAUAAUAAAAGGAACAACAAAGGAGAACUUCAAAAGGUGGUAAAAGGAAGGCGAAUUGGUCAGGGGUCCCAAGUCUGGAAGAACAAACUUUAUCCGCCAUCCAACAAGAGAGGAUGGAUCUAUUGCAAUCCUGGCUGGAAGAUCUUCCCCUUCACAGCUGCUUUGUGUGUGCUUCUGCUAGACACCUGUAGUGAACACAGUGAUGUCCACCCUGAUAUAUCUUCAGGAACAAAGAGCUUAUUGUCCCUGAGACUGACAGUGCCACCAGCAGACAGUCCUCAGCUUCCAGCCCCCUUCUGACAUUGCCCUGCCACCCAAGGUGAAGAUUCCAAGAGCACUCUCUAAUAAAAUUCCU
rnacentral:lncRNA from 1 species